rnacentral:lncRNA from 1 species
UAUUGAAAAUAAAGAAGGAAGAGAAUGUAUUAAUCACAGGACAAAUAACUUCGUUAGUAUAAUUAUUUUUUUUUAACUUUUAGACUUAUUCUUUAAGAAAAAAGUAGCAUGAAAUUAGAUCCAUAUGAUUUUUGUUACAUAUUGUGUGUGAUGGAUAGAUAUCACAUGAUUAUCUUCUCGAGCUUAAUUUAAAGAUGGAGAGAUCUGGGAAGGAUACCGAGGUUAACAUCCUUGAACCCCAUCAAGGUAUCUAAGGUUCUUUGAUAAAGUCAAAUUUCAAAAGCCUUGUUUUGGAUGAG